UACGUAGGGUGCAAGCGUUAAUCGGAAUUACUGGGCGUAAAGCGUGCGCAGGCGGUGAUGUAAGACAGUUGUGAAAGCCCCGGGCUCAACCUGGGAAUGGCAGUGGAAACUAGGGGACUGGAAUCUGGCAGAGGGGGGUGGAAUGCCGCGUGUAGCAGUGAAAUGCGUAGAGAUGCGGCGGAACACCGAUGGCGAAGGCAGCCCCCUGGGCUGAGAUUGACGCUCAGGCACGAAAGCGUGGGGAGCAAACAGG
rnacentral:rRNA from 1 species